rnacentral:rRNA from 1 species
GAUGAGCGCUGGCGGCGUGCCUAAUACAUGCAAGUCGAGCGAACGGACGAGAAGCUUGCUUCUCUGAUGUUAGCGGCGGACGGGUGAGUAACACGUGGAUAACCUACCUAUAAGACUGGGAUAAUUUCGGGAAACCGGAGCUAAUACCGGAUGAUAUUUUGAACCGCAUGGUUCAAAAGUGAAAGACGGUCUUGCUGUCACUUAUAGAUGGAUCCGCGCUGCAUUAGCUAGUUGGUAAGGUAACGGCUCACCAAGGCAACGAUGCAUAGCCGACCUGAGAGGGUGAUCGGCCACACUGGAACUGAGACACGGUCCAGACUCCUACGGGAGGCAGCAGUAGGGAAUCUUCCGCAAUGGGCGAAAGCCUGACGGAGCAACGCCGCGUGAGUGAUGAAGGUCUUCGGAUCGUAAAACUCUGUUAUUAGGGAAGAACAUAUGUGUAAGUAACUGUGCACAUCUUGACGGUACCUAAUCAGAAAGCCACGGCUAACUACGUG